rnacentral:rRNA from 1 species
ACGGGAGGCAGCAGUGGGGAAUAUUGCACAAUGGGCGCAAGCCUGAUGCAGCGAUGCCGCGUGAGGGAAGAAGGUUUUCGGAUUGUAAACCUCUGUCAUCGGGGACGAUAAUGACUGUACCCGAGAAGGAAGCUCCGGCUAACUACGUGCCAGCAGCCGCGGUAAUACGUAGGGAGCGAGCGUUAUCCGGAAUUACUGGGUGUAAAGGGAGUGUAGGCGGGACUGUAAGUCAGAUGUGAAAUCCCGGGGCUCAACCCCGGAACUGCAUUUGAAACUGUAGCCCUUGAGUAUCGGAGAGGCAAGCGGAAUUCCUAGUGUAGCGGUGAAAUGCGUAGAUAUUAGGAGGAACACCAGUGGCGAAGGCGGCUUGCUGGACGACAACUGACGCUGAGGCGCGAAAGCGUGGGGAGCAAACAGGAUUAGAUACCCUGGUA